rnacentral:rRNA from 1 species
AAUCAACGCUGGCGGCGUGCCUCAGACAUGCAAGUCGAACGAUUAAAGCUCUCUUCGGAGAGUGUAUAGAGUGGCGCACGGGUGAGUAGCACGUAAGUAAUCUGCCUUUGAGUGGGGAAUAACCCGGGGAAACCCGAGCUAAUACCGCAUAAUGCAGCGGCACCGCAAGGUGACAGUUGUUAGAGCGAGUAAUCGCGCUUAAAGAGGAGCUUGCGGCAGAUUAGCUAGUUGGUAAGGUAACGGCUUACCAAGGCUACGAUCUGUAUCCGGUCUAAGAGGACGGUCGGACACACUGACACUGAAUAACGGGUCAGACUCC